GGGUCAGCAGGUUGGUCGUGCCACUGGUAUGCACUGGCUUCGCUGAUUCCUCCUUUCUGAAGAACUGUAAUGCCAUUAAUUUGGUGUUGCAGGGAAACAGGACUGUUACUUUGAAAAAAUUAGAGUGUUUAAAGCAGGCUAACGCUUGAAUACAUUAGCAUGGAAUAAUGAAAUAGGACGUUUGAUCCUAUUUUGUUGGUUUCUAGGAUUGACGUAAUGAUUAAUAGGGA
rnacentral:rRNA from 1 species